AUUGAACGCUGGCGGCAUGCCUUACACAUGCAAGUCGAACGGUAACGGGCCUUCGGGUGCCGACGAGUGGCGAACGGGUGAGUAAUACAUCGGAACGUGCCCGAUCGUGGGGGAUAACGAGGCGAAAGCUUUGCUAAUACCGCAUACGAUCUACGGAUGAAAGCAGGGGACCGCAAGGCCUUGCGCAGACGGAGCGGCCGAUGGCAGAUUAGGUAGUUGGUGGGAUAAAAGCUUACCAAGCCGACGAUCUGUAGCUGGUCUGAGAGGAUGAUCAGCCACACUGGGACUGGGACACGGCCCAGACUCCGACGGGAGGCAGCAGUGGGGAAUUUUGGACAAUGGGCGCAAGCCUGAUCCAGCCAUGCCGCGUGCAGGAUGAAGGCCUUCGGGUUGUCAACUGCUUUUGUACGGAACGAAAAGCCUUCUUCUAAUACAGGAGGGUCAUGACGGUACCGUAAGAAUAAGCACCGGCUAACUACGUGCCAGCAGCCGCAGUAA
rnacentral:rRNA from 1 species